rnacentral:rRNA from 1 species
UAGAGUUUGAUCCUGGCUCAGAUUGAACGCUGGCGGCAGGCCUAACACAUGCAAGUCGAGCGGAUGACGGGAGCUUGCUCCUUGAUUCAGCGGCGGACGGGUGAGUAAUGCCUAGGAAUCUGCCUGGUAGUGGGGGACAACGUUUCGAAAGGAACGCUAAUACCGCAUACGUCCUACGGGAGAAAGCAGGGGACCUUCGGGCCUUGCGCUAUCAGAUGAGCCUAGGUCGGAUUAGCUAGUUGGUGGGGUAAUGGCUCACCAAGGCGACGAUCCGUAACUGGUCUGAGAGGAUGAUCAGUCACACUGGAACUGAGACACGGUCCAGACUCCUACGGGAGGCAGCAGUGGGGAAUAUUGGACAAUGGGCGAAAGCCUGAUCCAGCCAUGCCGCGUGUGUGAAGAAGGUCUUCGGAUUGUAAAGCACUUUAAGUUGGGAGGAAGGGCAGUAAGUUAAUACCUUGCUGUUUUGACGUUACCGACAGAAUAAGCACCGGCUAACUCUGUGCCAGCAGCCGCGGUAAUACAGAGGGUGCAAGCGUUAAUCGGAAUUACUGGGCGUAAAGCGCGCGUAGGUGGUUCGUUAAGUUGGAUGUGAAAGCCCCGGGCUCAACCUGGGAACUGCAUCCAAAACUGGCGAGCUAGAGUACGGUAGAGGGUGGUGGAAUUUCCUGUGUAGCGGUGAAAUUCUAGAUAUAGGAAGGAACACCAGUGGCGAAGGCGACCACCUGGACUGAUACUGACACUGAAUGCGAAAAAUGC